rnacentral:rRNA from 1 species
UACGAAGGGGGCUAGCGUUGUUCGGAAUUACUGGGCGUAAAGGGCGCGUAGGCGGCUUGGCAAGUUGGGCGUGAAAGGCCUGGGCUUAACCCGGGAAAUGCGUUCGAUACUGCCGAGCUAGAGUGUGGGAGAGGAUGGCGGAAUUCCCAGUGUAGAGGUGAAAUUCGUAGAUAUUGGGAAGAACACCAGUGGCGAAGGCGGCCAUCUGGACCACAACUGACGCUUAGGCGCGAAAGCGUGGGGAGCAAACAGG